rnacentral:ncRNA from 2 species
UUGCCGAGGAGGGAUGGAGUCCCCCCAAACCGCCUUAACCGGCUGAUGACUCCUACAAGCGC